UAAUUAUUUCAAGUUAUUGUAUGUUUAGAUGAAAUGUAAUUAAUCAGUCUUUUAUCGUUUAUUUUGUCUAUAUACUCUAACGCGUUCCACAUUUUCCUAAUAUAUUUUUUACAUUAAACAUUUCUUUUUUAUUUAAAUUCAAAUUUGCUAUCUAUACGUACAAUAAGGAUAAUUUCAUAAUUGUACUAUGAGAGUUUUUUGUUUUUAGCGAAAUGCAAACUUUUACAAAUUUUUUUACUGCAUUAAAUAAAAUAUUACAUAUAAAUAUGAAAUUUUGGAGAAUUUUUUAACGUAUCUGAACUUACCUGAAGACUAGAAAGACUAUUAUCACAGUCGGUAGUAUCAAUAUCAUUCAAAUUGACACCAGAUCUUUCCAUCUCAGCUCUGUACAUUUAAAUGGCCUUGGAUUGCUGGUGGUCGCUGCUCCGAACGUGGAAGUCAUACUAACCUGUAAUCAAACAAAUUCGAAAAUUCAGUUCACGUCUAAAGUAUCGAAAAAUAUGCAUGCAUAUCGCAUUUAAACACGAGAUUUGAUGAACUCUAGAAUUAGGAAAAUUUCAUUCUAUCUUCUAUCGUAACCAAACUCCGAUAAAUUCAGUUCACUGUGAUCGUAUACAACUUUUUUGCUUCUAUGAGUUUAAUCACCUUUAAACAUUACCGUAAAACUUCGUUUCUUUCAG
rnacentral:misc_RNA from 1 species